CUGGUUGAUCCUGCCAGUAGUCAUAUGCUUGUCUCAAAGAUUAAGCCAUGCAUGUCUAAGUAUAAGCAAUUAUACCGUGAAACUGCGAAUGGCUCAUUAAAUCAGUUAUCGUUUAUUUGAUAGUACCUUACUACUUGGAUAACCGUGGUAAUUCUAGAGCUAAUACAUGCUAAAAACCCCAACUUCGGGAGGGGUGUAUUUAUUAGAUAAAAAACCAAUGCCCUUCGGGGCUCCUUGGUGAUUCAUAAUAACUUCUCAGAUCGCAUGGCCUUGCGCCGGCGACGGUUCAUUCAAAUUUCUGCCCUAUCAACUUUCGAUGGUAAGGUAUUGGCUUACCAUGGUUUCAACGGGUAACGGGGAAUUAGGGUUCGAUUCCGGAGAGGGAGCCUGAGAAACGGCUACCACAUCCAAGGAAGGCAGCAGGCGCGCAAAUUACCCAAUCCCGACACGGGGAGGUAGUGACAAUAAAUACUGAUACAGGGCUCUUUAGGGUCUUGUAAUUGGAAUGAGUACAAUUUAAACCUCUUAACGAGGAACAAUUGGAGGGCAAGUCUGGU
rnacentral:rRNA from 1 species